GGUUGGACCCCCGGUACACGGAGCUUCUUCACUGAGCACGUAUCGGUUUCAAGGUGUCCCCGGGACCCGGUCGACCUCUCUUGCUCCCCUGCGGGAGUGGGAGAGAACCCCCCUUUUUAUCAAGGUUGACCUCGGAUCAGGUAGGAAUACCCGCUGAACUUAAGCAUAUCAAUAAGCGGAGGAAAAGAAACCAACAGGGAUUGCCUCAGUAACGGCGAGUGAAGCGGCAACAGCUCAAAUUUGAAAUCUGGCCUCUUUGGGGUCCGAGUUGUAAUUUGUAGAGGAUGUUUCGGGCACCGCUCCGGUUUAAAUUUCUUGGAACAGAAUGUCAAAGAGGGUGAGAACCCCGUCUUGGACCGGCAGUAGGGCCCAUGUGAACUCCUUC
rnacentral:rRNA from 1 species